UCUCUUAAUUCUUCUUCUGAUCAAUAACCCCAGAUGUCGCUAAUUAAACCUCAAACCUGCUGGAAAUUGAUUUUCAUACUGACUCGGUGUCUCUGAAAUCUGAAGAAAAGGAGGAGUUUGAGAAAACUUAAUCGCCCUUGAAGCAUCAAACUAGAUGUGUUGCUGCAUUUCUAGAUCUGCAAGGUUUUCUGG